GAUGUGUUCUGCGUGACACCUGAAUUCCAAAAUACAUUGUGCUUUUUAGGACAUUGACUCAGAGGCACUACGGAUCUUACAUAAGUGCUAUGGUCGUGCAAAAGAGAUCCUUGAGCGAAACCGGAACCUUAUGGAUGCAGUUGUUGAUAUACUAGUUGAGAAAAAAAGUCUUCAAAAGGAGGAAUUCUUUAAUUUAGUUAAGCUACAUGGAUCCCUUCAACCAAUGCCUCCCAGUGUAGUUGAUCUCAGGUCAGCUAAACGCUUGGAGUUCCAGGAUACUCUCACAAAACAGAAGGAAGUAGUCUCUCAGGGACGCAAAUGAGCAAGGUAUUUCAGAUUGUGACGUGAUCAUAUUAUCAAACCAUGAGCUACUUUGCUCUAUUAGUUUUCUCCUGGAAACAUGCUCCCUCUGUGGUUGGUACGGACGAUGUUUUUUGGCUACUGGGGCUCGAGCAGCAGCAAUUUCUCCUUCUAAUUUGCAGGGUACAACUUCAUUUUAUCUAUUUUUGUCUUGAAGAUCCUAUUGAAGUGGUACAGCUUACUGCUACCUCAGAUUGGCUGGAGCAGAGAGUGCAAGUUUUCUGUGGGUGGAUUUGUAAGUUUUCAAGCCCAAACAAUAAUCUGGGACCUGUGAAGCUGUAAAUGUGUCCUGGAGGGGGUGAACUUGUUUUUGUUUUCCUUUUUCUCUUUCUCCCUUCCUUUUUUGGGGGGACUGGGUGUUCCCUUAGCUGGUUUUCCCUAAUCAGUUUUGAUAUAGAUUGCACAACAGAGAGGACAUGUAUCGGAAUUAUAAGUCGGAUAUAAUAUGUUUUCCUAAUUGUUGCUUAAUAUUCUUACUAAUAUCAACUGUAUAAGACUCUGGAUAGCAGUAUUCAAGUUCACAAUCUAUAAAAUGUAAUUCAAGCCUUGGUAGGCAAAGUUAACACGUA